CUACGGGAUGCAGCAGUCGAGAAUCUUCCGCAAUGGGCGCAAGCCUGACGGAGCAAUGCCGCGUGAGGGAUGACGGCCCUAGGGUUGUAAACCUCUGUCAGAAGGGACGAAGAACGUGACGGUACCUUCAGAGGAAGCCAUGGCUAACUACGUGCCAGCAGCCGCGGUAAUACGUAGAUGGCGAGCGUUAUUCGGAUUUACUGGGCGUAAAGGGUCCGUAGGGGGUCUGCCAAGUCUGAUGUGAAAUCCUGCGGCUCAACCGCGGAACUGCAUUGGAAACUGGCGGACUAGAGUGUGCGAGGGGUGAGCGGAAUUCCUGGUGUAGCGGCGGAAUGCGUAGAUAUCAGGAAGAACACCGAUGGCGAAGGCGGCUCACUGGCGCAUCACUGACCCUGAGGGACGAAAGCGUGGGUAGCAAACAGGAUUAGAUACCCCGGUAGUC
rnacentral:rRNA from 1 species